rnacentral:rRNA from 1 species
GACGAACGCUGGCGGCGUGCUUAACACAUGCAAGUCGAACGGAAAGGCCCUGCUUGCAGGGUGCUCGAGUGGCGAACGGGUGAGUAACACGUGGGUGAUCUGCCCCUUACUUUGGGAUAAGCCUGGGAAACUGGGUCUAAUACUGGAUAGGACCAUGCUGUAGGUGGUGUGGUGGAAAGAUUAGUUUCGGUAAGGGAUGAGCUCGCGGCCUAUCAGCUUGUUGGUGGGGUAAUGGCCCACCAAGGCGUCGACGGGUAGCCGGCCUGAGAGGGUGGACGGCCACAUUGGGACUGAGAUACGGCCCAGACUCCUACGGGAGGCAGCAGUGGGGAAUAUUGCACAAUGGGCGCAAGCCUGAUGCAGCGACGCCGCGUGGGGGAUGACGGCCUUCGGGUUGUAAACUCCUUUCAGCCAUGACGAAGCCCUUGUGGUGACGGUAGUGGUAGAAGAAGCACCGGCUAACUACGUG